GGUUGUCCUGCAAAGAGAUAAUGUUCACUGAUUUUAUGCUAAUGCCAGUGGACUAUCUGCAGUGUACUUUAGUAACAUACGAUUGUAGUAAGUACCUUUCCUAGUCGUGGUUCCAUUCCCCAUUUGAGCAAAGCAAGCUGCACCAGUAAGACAGAACAUGAUUCAGAGGAAAUUUGGCAUACCUUUUCUUCUCAUUCUAAGAGGGAAAUCGGUGAGCACCCCAUCAACGGAAAACUGGGAAUUGGCGAUAAAUUGCAGGCCAUAUGUAUCCUUUGGGAACAAGAAUGCCACUUGCGAAUGACUUGACUGUGGCAAGAUCCUUUAUGAUUACACCAUAUUUCUGGUUGGUUGUGGGUUCAAGUACAUCUGGGCCUAGGACGGUAAAGAUGAGUUUUGU